CGGUUUUGUCUGCAGAUAUGUAUGAACGAUGUUACAUUUAGCUUGUUUCCCAGAGGGCAAUGCCGGCUAGCUGUCGACCCCAGGGCUGGGUAGUUCCCCUUGCCCGCCAAAUGUAGACAAAAAAGGAGACAUACUACUUCUCGGGACAUCAAAACUAACAACAACCUAACAACAACAAAGAAAAUCAUAAACAGACGGCUAUCAAGUGGGUGAAGCUUGGGUGUUACCACUUCGCGCGCCCGCCCUACCUGUGACCAAACACAACGUUCAUUUUGGCCACCCUCUGCUGGAACGGGAUACCCUCACCCAUUCGUACUGGAAUAUGUGUAGAUGAGUGGAGACUGGAUCCGUCUUACGGGAGUUACUUUCACUCGGGCCCCUACGGAGACCUGACCUACCAAGAGCUCUUGUUAAGGGUCCCCGGGACAUAAACAAUAAACAAUAUUUUCCACAAAUCACUCGACCACAUACGGUGGACUGAUGGGACCCCCGCGUCACCCGCUAAGGGUUAAUCUUCUGGCGUUGACCAGCUGAUCGCCGAUUUACGUUUGUGAAAGGUGUUGGUGUUUUUACAUGUUUUUUUUUUUCACUGGCCAAGAUUUUACGUUAAACGUUUUAAGCUUAUACUAAAUACAGAAUAAAGGACAACACACGGAACAAAAUAACAUUUACUGUGGAACGGUGUUUGGAGUGCGGAUUAUUUUUUUUUCUUUAAGUUCAAUAACGUGGGCUCGCUGAUCGCUGGCCGUGGCCGGUCAGCCCUAAAUUUAUCUAGGUCCGUGUAUACGUGUGCGCGCGUGUGUGUGUGUGAAUAGGAUUUCGAGGUUUUCACUUGGUAAAAGAGCCCAAACGUGUGGCACGCACUGGACGGCGAUGCAACGAUCGUGCGGUGUGGCUAGAAUCGCCCUGGCAGCUCACUCGACCUCUUUCACCCCCCCCCUCUUCACACGUCCCGCACUACUUGGCUCACACACGCGCAACUGGAACGAACUCACUCAGGUCCCGUUGUACCGUCUUCUUCUCUGCAGUCGACUUUCUCGGACUCCAGUGUUCCUCUCCAGGAAAUCUUCCGGCCCGGUUCUGGUGGCUAUAUUCCUUGCCGGUUCAAACUUAACGGCUCCAACUCCCCCCGAUGUCCCCAUACACCAUCGAGCCUCCCUGGACUCCCGCUAGAUGGCGCGUCGCCCUCAGCCCUGGCCACCUAUCGUUCAGGUGGGACUGGAACAACGAACGUAUUCAUUGAAUUUUCUAUGACUUCGUUCUAUUGUCCCUAAGGUCUGGUGGUGGUGUGCAGUGGACGUUAUGUUGUCUAUCUUAAGAUAUUUGCACAAAUCAUUUAUGAUUGAAUUCUUAUAUUCUGUUCCCAUGUCCGUAAUGAACGUCUUCAUCGGACCGUACUUCAGAAUAAAGUUUUCAAAUAUUGCUUUGGCAA